AUAUCAUUCAGCGGAGGAAAAGAAACCAACAGGGAUUGCCUCAGUAACGGCGAGUGAAGCGGCAAGAGCUCAGAUUUGAAAUCGGCCGACCGGCUGAGUUGUAAUCUGUAGAGGAAGGUUCGGCCGAGGUGCUGGCUAAAGUCUCCUGGAAGGGAGCGCCGCAGAGGGUGAGAGCCCCGUCUAGCCAGCGUCCGACGCCAUGUGUACCUCCUUCGAAGAGUCGAGUUGUUUGGGAAUGCAGCUCAAAAUGGGUGGUAAAUUCCAUCUAAAGCUAAAUAUAAGCCAAAGACCGAUAGCGCACAAGUAGAGUGAUCGAAAGAUGAAAAGCACUUUGGAAAGAGAGUGAAACAGUAC
rnacentral:rRNA from 1 species